ACGGGUGAGUAACACGUAGGCAACCUGCCCUCAAGCUUGGGACAACUACCGGAAACGGUAGCUAAUACCGAAUACUUGUUUUCUUCGCCUGAAGAGAACUGGAAAGACGGAGUAAUCUGUCACUUGGGGAUGGGCCUGCGGCGCAUUAGCUAGUUGGUGAGGUAACGGCUCACCAAGGCGACGAUGCGUAGCCGACCUGAGAGGGUGAUCGGCCACACUGGGACUGAGACACGGCCCAGACUCCUACGGGAGGCAGCAGUAGGGAAUCUUCCGCAAUGGGCGAAAGCCUGACGGAGCAAUGCCGCGUGAGUGAUGAAGGUUUUCGGAUCGUAAAGCUCUGUUGCCAGGGAAGAACGCUUGGGAGAGUAACUGCUCUCAAGGUGACGGUACCUGAGAAGAAAGCCCCGGCUAACUACGUGCCAGCAGCCGCGGUAAUACGUAGGGGGCAAGCGUUGUCCGGAAUUAUUGGGCGUAAAGCGCGCGCAGGCGGUCAUGUAAGUCUGGUGUUUAAUCCCGGGGCUCAACCCCGGAUCGCACUGGAAACUGUGUGACUUGAGUGCAGAAGAGGAGAGUGGAAUU
rnacentral:rRNA from 1 species